GCCUGUCUUCGGAGACCGAGCGUAUCAAAAGGUACAGUCAGUAGGACGGAAAAGAGAGCAAUCAGCCGACGACAUGCGUAUCCGGAGAGAAGUGAACAUCGUCGCUCUUGAUUGCGAGAUGGUCGGCGUCGGUCCAAAUGGAGUCAAGGACGCACUGGCACGCAUCAGCGUCGUGGACUAUUACGGCAACAUUCUGUACGACCAGUAUGUUCUACCGGGUUGUCCUAUUACAGACUUCAGGACCGAAGUGUCUGGCGUUCGUCCAUCCGACCUGACUCGCGCGAAACCGCUGAGCCGAGUCCGACAAGAGGUCCGAAGAUUUUUGAAGAACAAGAUCCUCGUAGGUCACAGUCUAGACAAAGACAUGCGAGUGCUCAAAUAUCAACAUCCUAUGCACCUCGUACGAGAUACCGCGAGAUAUCCACCAUUGACACACAACGGUAACGCACUACCUCUAAAGCACCUCGCCUCCGCGAUAUUGGAUAGAUCAAUUCAAAACGGAGAGCACGACUCUAUUGAGGACGCCCGCUCAGCGCUCCAAAUCUACAAGAAGUUAGAAAAGCCGUGGGAACUGUACCUCCAAAUACAAAACACGCAACACAUCUGACCAGUUUAUGGCUUUGUACAAAAAUGCGCUCUCUGCCGAAAAACUUUCGCGACUGCGAACAUUUUUUAACAGGUUCCUUCGUGGACAUUUCCCCUCGCAUUUCGAGAAUCUCCUCGCUACAAUGGGAUUGUUCACUAUAGUGGAAGUGGUGGUUUUGAUUUCGAAUGCGCUCGCAAUUCUCAAUGACGAGCGGUUUCUGACGCCGAUUGGACUGGGAUCUAAACCAGCAACCAAUUCACUAGGAAAACAAACAGGGGUCAAGGAGAAUAUCGCUAGCCUUUUGACUGCAGUCAGACUGCUGUUCAGACUGCCGCUCAUCGCGAUCAACACAGGAUUGAUUAUCUUGGAAAUUCUGAUUGGCUAAGGAGGCGGCCAUGAAUCUUGGGAAAAAG